rnacentral:lncRNA from 1 species
GGAAAGCAUAUUUGAGACCAGACUCUGGGAAUUGGAGACUCAAGCUUUUGUGAAGCUAGAACCUGCAGGGGACAGCCUUGAUUUGAUUGAUAUCCACUUGGCCUCAUGAUGGGAGCCAGAACCCAGAAAAUGAGUCAGUCCAAGGCAGAUUGACGUUUCCCAAAGUAUCUCUAAUGGGACUCAAGAAAUAAUGCCUCACCGUCUUUCUCAUCACCAAAUGUACUCAUGAUGGCCUUGGUAGGCAGAGAGAAAAGAUGACCGUGGGAUUAAGGCGGAAAUGGUUGGGGCAUUGUGGUGAAAGCUUUCUCUCUUUAAUGCAGUGAGGUUAUCUCAGC